rnacentral:sRNA from 1 species
AAAUAGUUAUUUCAUACAGCCAAGUAGAACUUUUUCCUGCGUGUUAUUGAUAUAACACCGCAAAUGCAAACAACACGUUAUAGCAGAUCUUGCAGUGACAGCAUGGACUUAAGAAGAGUGUUUUUGUAGAAACCUAUGUUACGUUGUUAUGUACUUGGAUUUACUAUUAAUAAUAUAUCUACUGGAUUAAGUUGGAUGUAGUGCGACCGGGUCUACAAUAAGGUGCAGACAUUAUGCCCUCCGUAUGAAAGCCACACGUGUGCGGUGUGCAUGCGGAGGCGGAUGUGCAAGAUAAGGCGGAUACUUUUAAAUUGUUUUCAAAGAAUAAACCCACUUUAAUGUUUUAUUGAUAUUAUAAUUCUUUAUUUUUUUUUACAAACAUGUAAUUUUACAAUGUGUAGUUCAACCAUUUAGAAGUCAUGCAAUCUGAAUGCCUCAAUCAACCGAAAUUAAAUUGCUCGACCGGUAUAUAUACCCCAGUGACAGUUGAGGAGCGAUCGAGAGUAAUAUUGCGAUCAAAUGGUUUAUGAAUUCAUGUCACCUUUAAUGAGCUUAAAUGUAUUUUAUAACUGUCAAUUGAAUGUAAUUUUUAAUAUGUCGUAUUGAAUUAAGUCGUGUUUGUUUUUGCGAGAUUAUUAAACAGUUUUUUCUUU